rnacentral:rRNA from 1 species
GCCCAACCCCUUGUGGGAGGGAGCUGUCGAAGGUGGGACUGGCGAUUGGGACGAAGUCGUAACAAGGUAGCCGUACCGGAAGGUGCGGCUGGAUCACCUCCUUUCUAAGGAGCA